rnacentral:rRNA from 1 species
AAGAGCUCAAAUUUAUAAUCUGGCACCUUCGGUGUCCGAGUUGUAAUCUCUAGAAGUGUUUUCCGCGUUGGACCGCACACAAGUCUGUUGGAAUACAGCGGCAUAGUGGUGAGACCCCCGUAUAUGGUGCGGACGCCCAACGCUUUGUGAUACACUUUCGAAGAGUCGAGUUGUUUGGGAAUGCAGCUCAAAUUGGGUGGUAAAUUCCAUCUAAAGCUAAAUAUUGGCGAGAGACCGAUAGCGAACAAGUACCGUGAGGGAAAGAUGAAAAGCACUUUGGAAAGAGAGUUAACAGUACGUGAAAUUGUUGGAAGGGAAACGCUUGAAGUCAGACUUGCUUGCCGAGCAAUCGGUUUGCAGGCCAGCAUCAGUUUUCCGGGGUGGAUAAUGGUAGAGAGAAGGUAGCAGUUUCGGCUGUGUUAUAGCUCUUUGCUGGAUACACCUUGGGGGACUGAGGAACGCAGUGUGCCUUACGGCGGAUUUCUCGAGAUCUUCACACUUAGGAUGCUGGUGGAAUGGCUUUAAACGACCCGUCUUG